GCAAGUCGAACGGUAACAGAGGUGCUUGCACCUGCUGACGAGUGGCGAAAGGGUGAGUAACACGUGAAUAACCUGCCCUCAAGUCGGGGAUAGCCUUUGGAAACGAAGAUUAAUACCGGAUGUGAAGAGUUAACCGCAUGGUUUACUUUUUGAAAUUUUUUGCUUGAGGAUGGAUUCGCGCCCCAUUAGCUAGUUGGUGAGGUAACGGCUCACCAAGGCUGUGACGGGUAGGUGGUCUGAGAGGAUGGUC
rnacentral:rRNA from 1 species